AUCUAAUUAAGUUUUUUCCUAAUAAAGACAAUUAACUAUACAAAUCACUUAUAUGUUUUUAUGAUAAGACAAUUGACUGUACAGAUUAAAGACAAUUGACUGUACAUAUUAAAGACAAUUGAUAGUACAGAUUAGAAAGGUACAGUUUUUAUGGGUAAAAUAGUUAGUAGCCUGUGAUAAUUUGUUUAUAAAUAUUUAAUAAAUGGAUUAAGAUAAAAAAUAUGUAAAUUAGAUGAUUUGUGACUAAAUGAAUUAACUAAUCAAAACUUUAAAUAAAUAAAUUCCUUGACCUCUUUUAUAUAUAGUCUGAAAUAUCAUGUAAAUAGGAAAUCUAUUUAUAGUAACAAUUGAAUUUGGAUGUGUACAGACAGUAUAUAUAUAUAUAUACACACUUGUUAACAAUUCAAGUAAACUUUCCACAAAAUUCUAACCAUUUGUUAACAAAUUAUAUUAGCCUACACUACUAUACCCAUAAUAUGCAAUUCUGAAUAAACAAAAUGGGCUUUGAUUUUGAAAUGCAUCAUUUAAGCCAAAUCUGUAAUGCUGUAGGAAAACUUAAAACUUUAACUCAACACUUAGUCAUGGGUCCAGAUUUCAUAUUUGAACACAUCAUAUAUGUUUCGUUCCCCUUUCUUUUCUAGGGCAUUAUAUUUAUGCAGUUUGACUGUCUGUACACAACCAAAUUUUCAUCAGUAGUUCUGUAUAGUUAGUUGUUGAUUCUCUGGUCAGAGACUAAAUUAUUUAGUUGUGUGAUUGUAAAUUGUAGAUGUGUGAUGGUUACAUGGUCAUUUUAUUGUAAAACAUCCACUCCCAGGUCACCAUGGUUACAUGGUGUUUUUUUAUUGUGGAAAUUUCCAAACCAAGUUCCCUGGCAAUGCUACUUAAAUUUUUUACAUAUAAUCUUUUUGUAAUUUAUUUGGCCAAAAGAUACUUAUUUAGAGGUUCAAUACCUGUUUUCAAAUGUUUACUUCCGUAUAUGUUUUUUGUAUUUUGAUAUUUUUGUUCAAUUUACAAAGCACUAGAUGUGCAUGGUUCAGGUUGUUGUACUUUUAGUUCCGAUUUGUAGAAAAAUCAAUUCAAAAUCAAUUGUUAUUAGAGUGAUGUAAAACUCAUAAUUCAACUAAAAUUAAAUUUACUUUUGGCCAUUAUUUAAUACAUUCAAAUUUUGUAAUCGUUUUUUUUCCUUGCCAGUGGCAUUCAGAAAGAUUGUGCAAUGUUACUUUUGCUCAAGACAAUUUUAAUUUAUGCAUUUGACCUUCUGACCUUCAACAAAGGUUAAAAGUGCCAUAUAGUAUGCAAACACAAGUCAAACUUUUGACACACAUAUCUCUUACUUUUGACCAAUUUUAGCUUGAAAAAGUCAUCCUAAUAAAUUGUAAUGUAACUAUUUCUUUUAAUCACAUGAUCCUUUGUAUUAGUUUUGAUUGGUUGUUGAAGGUCAAAUGGUCUUUUGCUGUUACUAUGACAAUGACAGAGUUCGUGACUGUUUAUAUCUGAAAUAAAUCAGCAGAUGUCUCCAUUUA
rnacentral:lncRNA from 1 species